CAAUAAUGAAGAAGGUGAACGUCCUUCAUCAGACCCAUUAGCUCCAGUUGAGGGCUCUCUUUCAGGCAGCUGAAGAGGCUGCUGUCAUGAAGCCACGAGUAAAGAGUUACUGAUUUAUUAUCAUUAUCAUCAGGACGAUCAGCCAUGUUUGAUGAAGGGCUCUUUAAGAGGCUGACUACGUGCUUCUGUGUUUUACUUCAACAGGAUGUUUAACUGGGUGGUGAAAGUGGUUCCCCAGCCCCCUGAUGCUGUUGGGACAGACGAUGCUGCCAAGACCCCUGAUGCUCCAACCAAAAAUACAGAGGCUGCAGUGAAGACACCCACACUGAAAAAUGCAGAUGAGGUUUCAGAGGACGGCCAAGCGCAGACUGGAGUAUUAGGCUGGUUGUCUAAUGGGUUCGUCAGCGCG
ensembl:lncRNA